AUUGUCAAACGAAAAUGACCUCGUUUCCAUUUAGAUUUUUCUUGAUGGGCAAUCCCCAUCAAGAAAAAUGGUUUCAUCAAGGAAAAGUCCAAAAAGUGUUUCGUUUUUAUCUUAGUUAAACCACGUCGUUUUGAGCCCUCUUCCUUCCUAAAAAUUAUUUAUUAAGCCGUGAACCACAUCCUGCUGCUCCGCGCGACCUACCACCGUGAAGAUCGCUGCUGACGCCGCCGCCCAAGUGACCGUCGGCUGCUGCCCAAAAUCGAAUCUGAUCUGCCACCGUGACUUAGAACAUAGACGCCGUGACCUGUUAAUGUUGGCCGUGGCUGCGCUCAGCAAGUAUGACGGAGGAAUAUGCAUUUAUCCAUCCUACACAAAUUUCAAGUGGUUCAGACACUGAUGAACAAAGAUCUCGAUUCCUGAUGAUAGAUUGUUGUUGAUGAAGAAUAAAUUUUUGAUAUGUCCGUAUAAUUUCGGGUAAGUUUAGAAAACAAGUAUUUUGUUUAUAUAGUUUUUGGAUUGUAAAUAUUUUUAUUUAACUUUAUUGAAAUGUCUUUUAUAUAGAUUUCAUUCGAUAGUAUUUGUUAUUUGCUUUUGAAUUAAUAUGGUGUACUCAAUUGACUCUUUGGGAUAUGGUGUACGAGAGGGGGUGAAUGGUUAAUACGUAAGUAUUUAAUAGUUCUUUCACGUUGUGUAUAUAAUGUAAACAUUUUGAUAUCUUGCGUAUUUGUUUUUUAGGGCCAUAAUAUUGUUUUAUGCUUGAACAAAUUUGAGACCUCGGUCUCUUACUUGGGUCCCUAUUAAGGUAAACAUUUCAAUUUUGAUUGAAUGAUAAUAUACGUUUGAUUAAAAUAUUUGUUUUUUUAUAAUGUGAGUUAAAAGAGCACAUAUAAUGUGCUCAACAACCAGAUAGUACGGAGUGUGGGUACUAUAUUAUAAAGUUCAUGUGCGACAUAGUAAACACAGGAGCAAAAUAAUUAUAGACAUGUUGAGAAGACUGACAACUUAUAGUAAAUUGGAAUUAGAUGCAGUGAGAGUUGAGUAUUGUGACUUUAUAGGACGCUACAUUUGAUGGACUUUUGUUAUACGAUGUAUCAAUAGUUUAGUAUGUAUGGGUUUAGGAUAUGAGAUAUGAUGUCAAUUUUAGUAGAGUUAGGUAUCAUAUGAUCAGAUUUUUAGAUACUGAUUGUUUGUAGAAUUAACAUUGUUUUACUGGUUGAUUAAUGAAAAUUAUUCGGUUGAUUUGUUGGAUAGUAA